GGAGGGGGCCGCGUAGCUGAGCCCGGGGCUGAGACCAGGUUUCCUAUAAGAAGUGACUCCGGGGCAAUUUGAAGGUUUUGAAAGGGGAAGGGCAUUUCAAACAGAAGUGUACGUCCCAGUCCCAGGUGAGGUCAAAGGAGCUGCUCUCACAAGUGCUGGAUUGUGAAUCCCUCAAUGGGGCAUGUCAGGUCUUUUAUGAUCAGGAUGCAAUGCUUGGCUUUUAAAAUAAGCACUUUAUAGUUUUCAGAACACUUAUAAAUCCUUUUUCCCUCUCUUCAGCAGCCUUAUCCAACAGUACCAAAAAUCGGGAAAGAAGAACAAAACAAAGAACGGAGAAAAGGCUGGAUAGCUUUGCGGCAACAGAGCUCAGCCCACACCCCCCCUCUCACCGCAGCCCACGUAUGGGACUGGCCCACAAAAAGUGGCGGUGAUCACAUCA
rnacentral:lncRNA from 1 species